UACGUAGGCAGCGAGCGUUGUUCGGAGUUACUGGGCGUAAAGGGUGUGUAGGCGGUCUUCUAAGGCUGGUGUGAAAUCUCCCGGCUCAACUGGGAGGGUGCGCCGGAAACUGGGAGGCUAGAGUGUGGGAUGGGAGAGUGGAAUUCCUGGUGUAGCGGUGAAAUGCGUAGAUAUCAGGAGGAACACCUGUGGUGUAGACGGCUCUCUGGACCGCAACUGACGCUGAGACACGAAAGCGUGGGUAGCAAACAGG
rnacentral:rRNA from 1 species